rnacentral:rRNA from 1 species
AAUAGAUACCCCGGUAGUCCACGCCGUAAACGAUGAGUGCUAAGUGUUAGAGGGUUUCCGCCCUUUAGUGCUGCAGCUAACGCAUUAAGCACUCCGCCUGGGGAGUACGGCCGCAAGGCUGAAAACUCAAAGGAAUUGACGGGGGCCCGCACAAGCGGUGGAGCAUGUGGUUUAAUUCGAAGCAACGCGAAGAACCUUACCAGGUCUUGACAUCCUCUGACAACCCUAGAGAUAGGGCUUUCCCCUUCGGGGGACAGAGUGACAGGUGGUGCAUGGUUGUCGUCAGCUCGUGUCGUGAGAUGUUGGGUUAAGUCCCGCAACGAGCGCAACCCUUGAUCUUAGUUGCCAGCAUUCAGUUGGGCACUCUAAGGUGACUGCCGGCGACAAACCGGAGGAAGGUGGGGAUGACGUCAAAUCAUCAUGCCCCUUAUGACCUGGGCUACACACGUGCUACAAUGGAUGGUACAAAGGGCUGCAAACCUGCGAAGGUAAGCGAAUCCCAUAAAGCCAUUCUCAGUUCGGAUUGCAGG